GAUGAGUUUAGGGGCCAGGGCUAAUAUAUGGAGAACGGCUGGCUGCUCCUGGGCAUAACUCAAAUGGAGAGAAUGGAGGCAGAUCCAGACAGCAUGCAGAAUAACUAUGUGCUGGUCCACACUAAGAACACAUGUGCACGGUCAGACCCAUCCCGUCGCAUCAAGGUGCUCCUUGCCCACAUGGUAGUGGCCAUAGUGGUUGUAUCAGUGAUGAUAUUGGCAUACCUGGUCUAUCGGGCGAACGGAGCUGCAUCCGAGGCGCUGAGUGCCCACCGCAGGGAGGCAACUAGAUCCUUUAGGUGGUGGUGCCCCCUUCCAGAGUGUGGUUUCACGUGUGUCCUCUUGGAAUUUCGCUUUUAUCAUUUUGAUCCUGUGGGCCUAUAGGUGAAAUGCCUAAUCCGCAACAAGCUUCUUGGUUAUAAUAACAAUACAUCUUCCAUGUUGAGGCAUUACCGUGCCCUUCAUGAGAAAGAGGAGACACCCACAGCACCUGCUGGGACUUGCACACCUUCCAGGAAAAAGGUAAUGGACGAGGCCUAGUGGACAUGGUGGUGAAGGAUAGCCAGCCUUUUACUAUGGUCAACGACCAGGGAUUCAGGGGGCUGGUAAAAUUACUGGACCCUUCAUAUGUUCUGCCCACCAGACAGGCUUUAAAGGCCAUGGUGGAGGAACUGGACUUGAGCAUCUGCGUACAAGUGCCAGAAGAAUUGUAACACUCUUUCGGUCUAGUACCAAGGAAAGUCUAGCCCAGAUGCAGCAACGCAUGGGAAGACCAAUGCGUAAGCUGCUGAAGGAGGUUGAGACGAGGUGGAACAGCACCUAUAAUGUUGGAGAGGCUGCAUUCAGAUAGAGAAGCUGUCAACUGUGGCGACAUUUGGAUGCAACUGUGCAGAGGAGCAGACAAAUUCAUAGUGCCACAGCAGAUGCCAUCGUAGAGGUCCAGCGCUAUUUAAGAGAACCUCACAUCAACCGAAAUGAUGAUCCACUCCAAUACUGGGAACUGCACAAACUAUUAUUUCCACACCUCUACAUUUUGUCAUUGAAAUUUUUGUGUACCCCUGCAUCCUCUAUCCCCUGUGAGCGUGUUUCUAAAUAAAAAUCAUUAGCCAAAUCUUGUUACUGAAUAAAAUCAUUAGCCCCCCCUUCCCCCCUCCAAAGUUACACAAAAC
ensembl:lncRNA